rnacentral:rRNA from 1 species
AUACGGAGGGUGCAAGCGUUAAUCGGAAUUACUGGGCGUAAAGCGUGCGUAGGCGGUUUGCUAAGUCAGAUGUGAAAGCCCCGGGCUUAACCUGGGAACUGCAUUUGAUACUGGCAGACUAGAGUAUGACAGAGGGGGGUAGAAUUCCUGGUGUAGCGGUGAAAUGCGUAGAUAUCAGGAGGAAUACCAGUGGCGAAGGCGGCCCCCUGGAUCAAUACUGACGCUGAGGUACGAAAGCGUGGGGAGCGAACAGGAUUAGAAACCCUAGUAGUCC